CUUGUACUCCCUCCGUCCGAAAAUACUUGUCAUUGAAAUGGAUGUAUCUAGAUGUAUUUUAGUUCUAGACACAUCCAUUUUGAUGACAAGUAAUUCCGGGCGGAGGGAGUACUUG
rfam:Triticum urartu cultivar G1812 contig696427, whole genome shotgun sequence.